rnacentral:lncRNA from 1 species
GUAAAAAAUGUGGUGUUUGUAGCUUUAUAAUAAAUUUCAUUAUUAUACUUUCAACUACUAUUCAACCUUGAAUCAACGUUGAAUGGAUGUUGAAACUUCAACGUUGAAAUGACAACGUUAAUUCAAAUUUUCAAAAUCAAACAUAAAUUUGACAUUGUUUCAACGUUGAGAAACAACCUUGUUUCAACGUUGAAUCAACGUUGAGUGCCUGCUGGG